UUAUUAUGCCUAAAAUAAUUGUUCACAAUCAAAAUCUCAAUAAGCCAUGUACUUUCAGUCUAUGCUGCCGAUUUUAGACCUUUUUGUGACUUAUUGUUUAUAUCCACUUCACUUGCUCGCCACAUACCGAGCCAAACUAACCGAAAACACAAAAAUAUCAAAAGUUUUCAAGAUUCGUUUUUUUUUUUUGUUUUAAUCGAAAUUAUUGUGAAGCAUGGAUAGUUCGACGACUGACGCACCUAAAGCAUACACUCGGCAUGUGCUGAGAGCGAUUGCAUUCUUGCAAAGAGGUGAAUCCAUCUUUAUCAAUGCGGACGAUAUCGUUAAGCAGGUGUUGUUGCAAAUGCGUCGCACAAAGAAGUUGGAUGUGGUGAAAAGCCACGUGCUGAAGUCGUUGAGCAGCUUGACACGUCUUGGAAUAUUAUCCCGAAGUCCUAGCGCCGAAUACAGCUUCUAUCAGUAUCCCGCUGAGCGCCCCCCUUUUCCGGCAAGGAUUAGAUGCACUAAACGCAGGCGCUUCAUUGCUGGUCGCCCACCACAAAGGACGAGUCGCGCGUUAGUUAAUCCCAGUUGCAAGUCCCACAAUGGCAAGACUGCCAAAAAUAUUACAUUACCAAGGCCAAGGCGACACUUUCCAUUUAAGGCUGAGUAUAAAACUAGGCGUUCAUACGCCUAUAGUUUACGCAAUCAUGUAGUAUGCGCAUGCUGUCGCCCUUACGUUGAAACAUUCAAUAAAUUACGGACUGGUUGCUUGAAGGCCGUGGCUGGCGAGGACUCGAACCACUCGAAUGUGUCCACCGUAACUGCCGAGCAGAAUGACGUAUUGAUGAACGAAAUUGAAAAUCCGCCCACUGUGGAUCAGUUGCGUGUAGAACAGACUCCCGGAGCUUCGAUUGUUUUAAAACGUUAUUCGUUCGAUUCCCCAACACCUAUUGUUGUGGAGAGAGAGCACAAAAUAGAAACCUAAUCAAAUAAAUGCUGUUUAAAAA